rnacentral:rRNA from 1 species
GGGGGGAUAUUGCACAAUGGGCGAAAGCCUGAUGCAGCGACGCCGCGUGGGGGAUGAAGGCCUUCGGGUUGUAAACUUCUUUUGCUCUGAACAAGGCGCACCAUGGGGUGUGUUGAGUGUAGGGGUUGAUUAGCGCCGGCUAACUACGUGCCAGCAGCCGCGGUAAUACGUAGGGCGCGAGCGUUGUCCGGAAUUAUUGGGCGUAAAGGGCUUGUAGGUGGCUGGUUGUGUCUGUCGUGAAAGCUCAUGGCUUAACUGUGGGUUUGCGGUGGGUACGGGCUGGCUUGAGUGCAGUAGGGGAGGCUGGAAUUCCUGGUGUAGCGGUGGAAUGCGCAGAUAUCAGGAGGAAUACCGGUGGCGAAGGCGGGUCUCUGGGCUGUUACUGACACUGAGGAGCGAAAGCAUGGGGAGCGAACAGG